GUUCCUUCAGGAUAGGUGGCAUUCUGAGAAAUAAAACUUUUUGUCCGUUAAAGCCAAUGAUUAGAGGUAUUGGAGAGAAAAUAUACCGAACCAAUUCUCAAACUUUAAACGGGUGAGAAGAUUAACUCACUCAAGCAGACUUUUCCAUUGAAUGUGAGUACCAAAUGGAGCAUUUUUGGUAAGUAAGAUUGGCGCUAUGGAUCAAACCU
rnacentral:ncRNA from 1 species